GACGAACGCUGGCGGCGUGCUUAACACAUGCAAGUCGAGCGGUAAGGCCCUUUCGGGGGUACGACGAGCGGCGAACGGGUGAGUAACACGUGGGUGACCUGCCCUCCAGCUCUGGGAUAAGCCUGGGAAACCGGGUCUAAUACCGGAUAUGACUCCAUGACGCAUGUUGUGGGGUGGAAGGCCUUGUGCGGCUGAGGAUGGGCCCGCGGCCUAUCAGCUUGUUGGUGGGGUGAUGGCCUACCAAGGCGACGACGGGUAGCCGGCCUGAGAGGGCGACCGGCCACACUGGGACUGAGACACGGCCCAGACUCCUACGGGAGGCAGCAGUGGGGAAUCUUGCGCAAUGGGCGAAAGCCUGACGCAGCGACGCCGCGUGAGGGAUGACGGCCUGG
rnacentral:rRNA from 1 species